rnacentral:rRNA from 1 species
UUAGUAACGGCGAGUGAAGCGGCAACAGCUCAAUUUGAAAUCUGGCUCUUUCAGAGCCGAGUCGUAGGUCUGCAGAGGGCGCUUUGGCUUUGGCAGCGGUCCAAGUUCCUUGGAGCAGGACGUCACAGAGGGUGAGAGUCCCGUACGUGGUCGCUAGCUAUUGCCGUGUAAAGCCCCUUCGACGAGUCGAGUUGUUUGGGAAUGCAGCUCUAAUGGGAGGUAAAUUUCUUCUAAAGCUAAAUAUUGGCCAGAGACCGAUAGCGCACAAGUAGAGUGAUCGAAAGAUGAAAAGCACUUUGGAAAGAGAGUCAAACAGCACGUGAAAUUGUUGAAAGGGAAGCGCUUGCAGCCAGACUUGCUUGCAGUUGCUCAUCCGGGCUUUUGCCCGGUGCACUCUUCUGCAGGCAGGCCAGCAUCAGUUUGGGCGGUGGGAUAAAGGUCUCUGUCACGUACCUCUCUUCGGGGAGGACUUAUAGGGGAGGCGACAUACCACCAGCCUGGACUGAGGUCCGCGCAUCUGCUAGGAUGCUGGCGUAAUGGCUGUAAGCGGCCCGUCUUGAAACACGGACCAAGGAGUCUAACAUCUAUGCGAGUGUUUGGGUGUCAAGCCCGAGCGCGUAAUGAAAGUGAACGGAGGUGGGAACCCGCAAGGGCGCACCAUCGACCGAUCCUGAAGUUUACGGAAGGAUUUGAGUAAGAGCAUGGCUGUUGGGACCCGAAAGAUGGUGAACUAUGCUUGAAUAGGGUGAAGCCAGAGGAAACUCUGGUGGAGGCUCGCAGCGGUUCUGACGUGCAAAUCGAUCGUCAAAUUUGGGCAUAGGGGCGAAAGACUAAUCGAACUAUCUAGUAGCUGGUUCCUGCCGA